UACAGGGGGGGCAAGCGUUGUUCGGAAUUACUGGGCGUAAAGGGCCAGUAGGCGGCCAACUAAGUCCGACGUGAAAUCCCAAGGCUUAACCUUGGAACUGCGUCGGAUACUGGAUGGCUUGAAUUCGGGAGAGGGAUGCAGAAUUCCAGGUGUAGCGGUGAAAUGCGUAGAUAUCUGGAGGAAUACCGGUGGCGAAGGCGGCAUCCUGGACCGACAUUGACGCUGAUGAGCGAAAGCUAGGGGAGCAAACGGG
rnacentral:rRNA from 1 species